UUGGGGUUGUUUUGGAUUCGACAUUUUUUGUUAUCGUGUUAAUUUAACUAUGGCUUAUAAAGUC
rnacentral:tRNA from 1 species